GUGGUGAUCUCUUAAGUAACCUCUUGGCCUUUUCUUGUGAGAGUUGGGAAUAGCCUAUCUCUGAUUCAUUCUGUCAGAUCUUUCUCGGAUUCGUCGCUUUGUCUGCCCCUCAGUUAGACUUUCAAACUUGACUGCUUCCUUCUACAAACUAACCUUACCUACAUUGCUUGGGAUUAAAGAUGUAUACUAAAGACAUUUCUAUAUUCCAGCCAGAGGGAUUAAAGGUGUGUGUUAAGGAUGAACCACACUACAACUAGAAACAGGUGUUUUUAAGUAAAUAACACAAUCUCGGGGUUCACAGUGUGAUCAAAUAUCCUGCAACAGCACUCCUCAGCACCUAACAGUGUCUCCACCACACAACUGGCUCCCUUUUGGGAUACAGUGUUGUAAAGGCAGGGCCCUGUCUAUCUCCAUCUCCCACCCUAAAGGAGCAAGUGCCAUAGGACAAGCUCUACCACACGUGAUAAAUUCCUUGGGCACAUCUUUGCCAUUAGAGUUUUCCCAUUCCUCCCAUCUCUGGUUGCUCACUGUCCUUUCUGUUGUCUCAGUCUUUUGCAUUGUUUUGAGAUGGCCAGGAACGAUGUGUGGGUCCUCUGGAAGAGCAGUGUCCUUGCAGAAGCAUUCACUGGCCCUGACACCAGCUUCUGUGCAGCCCUGGGCCUGAAAGCUCUUCAAGCUUCACACUCUGCUUUUUGUCCUCAUUCCCUGUCAGGAACCUUGCCUCAGGAAUGUCACUUGUAUGAAAGUACAAUUAUUUUUGCUUCUAUUUGCUUUUUUUGUUGUAUUUCCUAUCUUUAUCCAUUAUGAUCACAGGCAGUUUUGUCUUUAAUUUUGCUUUCUGUACACACUGUGCACAUCUCACUUUGCCAUUUCAUGCACAAGUCUGUCCUGUUGUGGUAAAAUAACACAUGCUUUCAGUUUCUGUGGUCCUGCAGGCUCCUUUCCAUCUUACAGAUCUGUUUGUUGUCCCUGAUCCCGAGAGUCUAAAGUUUCAUAGCAGAGUCACUUUGAAAAAUCUUAAGAAUUUCCUUGUUCGAUGGGCGGUAGUGGUGCACGCCUUUAAUCCCAGCACUUGGGAGGCAGAGGCAGAGGCAGGUGGAUUUCUGAGUUCCAGGCAGGCCUAGUGUACAAAGUGAGUUCCAGGACAGCCAGGGCUAUACAGAGAAACCCUGUCUCGAGAAACCAAAAAAAAAAAAAAAAAAAAGAAAAGAAAAGAAAAAAGAAUUUCCUUGUUCUGUGGUGUUUUCCUUACAGGUUGUGUUCUGUCCUCCACUGUGCCUGCAAAUCCUCCCUUCCCCUCCCACUCUCCUUCCCUGCUCACCUUCCUUCCUUCCCUCUGUGUUUGGUGAGUAGUAGCUGACUGACGUGGGGUUUGUCUCUAGCUGUUAUGUUCAUCAGCCACAUAGCCAUGUCAUUCCCUGUUAUCUGAGUCACACUGAAUCCGCACACUGCCUGUUAUAGAAGGUGGGUAGCUCAUUUGUGGAUUCCAUUAGUAUUUACUGAGUAAUUGUUCCAUGCCAGGUGCACAGCAGAGAAGAAUUCCUUCCUGGGAGCACUGUGGUGGGAGGAGGAGGAGGAGGUAACAAACAAAACAAUGGAGGGCCAAAGGGAAGAAGAAAGGACAGGGUGCAGACAGAGCUGAUGCUCAGCUGCCAUUUUAGACAGCAUUCAGAAAAGACCUCAUUGAUGGUGCCAGAAAAAAACUGAAAGAGAAGCCUGCAGAGCCUGAGGAGAGUCCUGGGUGGCUGUAUGCUUUGGUGGAGCGUGAGAAAGGCACAGAAGAACCAGGUGUAUGGGUGCUUGGAUAUACUUUUACAUUUUAUAUUGAUUAUUAUGUGUGGCAUGUGUGCAGAGGUCAGAGGGCAAGUCAGCUUUAUGGAGAUGGUUCUUUCUGUAUACCUUGAUGUAGGGUCUCAGGAUUGAACUUGGACUAUCAGGGUUACACAAUAGUCACCUUUACCCACUGAGCCAUCUUGCUGGCUCCCUUGUAUAUAUUUUAACUUUUACUUAAAUGGUGAUGGGAAGUCACAGGAAGGUAGAUGAGGGACAGGCUUUGACCUUUUCACAUAUCACUUGAGCUAUUACAUUGAACAUACAGUACAGAAGGCGUGGGCACAAACAGGGACUCCAGGAGGAUGCCAUGGUAAGAGUCUAGGCAGGAGAGGAUGACAAAGUAGAUAGAAGCUGUGGACACGAUUCAGAACAGCAGACAGGUUCUGGUUACCCUCUGAAGGUAGGGGAACAGUGUGGGUGUCCGAAGCUGUGGAAGACUGAGAUUGCCACUUGCAAGGAAAGACUUGAUAACAAGCCCGGGGGGCAUGGUUUGUGGCUGGUGUCUCAGCUGCAUGGGAAGCUUCUGAGAUGUGGCUUCACAACUGUGCUCACAGACACAUGAACUUUAGAUCAGACAGAGUACUUGAGCGGUAGUCAGAGCUGAAGAUGCAGACUUUAAUAGCAUUUGUAUACCUGAGAGAUGCAAAGCAGAGAGACUGAAUGUAUGCCCUCUGAGUGGAGAAGAGGAGACAGAAGGCUCUGUUUUGACACAUAUAAAGGAGGCAGUGAGUGCAGAGGAGUACAGAGAGGUGGAGUGCUGAGGAGCACAGUAUGCUGAAAGAAGAGGCAUUGCCGUGUGUGUGUGUGUGUGUGUGUGUGUGUGUGUGUGUGUGAGAGAGAGAGAGAGAGAGAGAGAGAGAGAGAGAGAGAGAGAGAGAGAUUAAGCGGACAAUGGCUAACUGGUUCAACUCAGGUGUUCUGGGCCAAACUUUUCCCUAAGCUGACUGAUUCAAACUGACAGAAGCUUCUCUCUGCUUCUGACUGAAUGGCUCGGCAUGGCUUCUAACUAACUCUGGCAAUCUGUUCUAAUCUUUUGGCUCCUUGUCAUUCUCUGGCUAGUUCUGUCUUCACCUGUGUCUAGCUUGUUCUCUCUGUAACCUGUCUCUGUAAUACUGUCCUGGUAAGACUGCCAUGUACACACACACCCCACCCCUAUGUCUGGCUGCUCUCUGUAAAACUGUCCUCACCUCUUUCUCUCUUCUUCUGCCCCUGGGCUGCUCCUAAGUAGCCUCUCUUUCCUGUCUGUUCUUAUGAGAGUUGGGUGUAUCAUAUCUCUGCUUCGUCACUUGUUUAAAGGGAAUGAAAGGAAAAUGGAAUCAUGAUCAAGAGAAUAGUUUUCAGGUAAAGUGUUGCUGGCACACUGAGGGGACAGUGUGCUGAAGAAGCUAAGGAAGAGAGGCAAGGCUGACACUGGGCAGUCAGCACAGAACAUCCUGUAUCCAGACACAGAUGAGACAAGCUGUAUCCAUCAGCAGACAGGCAAGAGUACUUAGAUAGGGUACCAAUGCAGAAAUUGAUGGAGAGGUAGACACUUGCACAGACCUCUUUUGAUGGCUUUUGUUUCCUUGCUGAAAAUGAAACAAACUCAUCCAUCCAUCCACUGAGGUCAGUAUGUGGAAGGUCAGGAAAUCAUUACCUAAGAGAGUGGGAGAGCCUAGCCUAGGUACGCCCCAGGGCUGCCCAGGCCCAGGCCACCCAUAGCUCUCAGUAACCCUCCUUCAUUUUCUCAACAGUUUUUUACAUUUUGGAAGCACAAGGCGCUGCCAGUUCAUCUAUGAUCUGUGCUGCAGUCCUGUAUCAACAUUGCUUCCCCUUUAGUGGGAAGUGAAUGGGGAAACUGAGGUCUACACAUGGGGGAAGGGGUGCAUGCCUUUAAUCCCAGCACUUGGGAGGCAGACGCAGGCCAAUCCCCAUGAGUUCAAGGCCAGCCUGGACUAUAGAACAAGUUCCAAGACAGCCAGGACUACACAGAGAAACCUUGUCUCAAAAAACCAAAAAUAAACAAGUAGAGCUAAGGUCUGUUACUGAUUGUAAGAGUCAGAGUCAGAGCCAUACAAAAGCUGUGGUAGGAGAAGUAUCUUUCCUCCCUGAGGAACUACCUCUCCCCUGAGUCUGGUCCUCCCCUGCCCCUCAAGUCCUUACCUGUUCAGUUUCCUGUUCAGUCUUCCUCACUCUUGGCUCAGAGCAGUAGGAAC
rnacentral:lncRNA from 1 species